AGCAGCCGCGGUAAUUCCAGCUCCAAUAGCGUAUAUUAAAGUUGUUGCAGUUAAAAAGCUCGUAGUUGAAUUUCGGGAUCGGCAUGUUGGUCGUGCCUUACGGGGUAUGAACUGGCAUCGUCGGUUUCUCACCUUCUGGAGAAUCGUGAUGCUCUUAAUUGGGUGUUACGUGGAUCCAGGACCUUUACCUUGAAAAAAUUAGAGUGUUUAAAGCAGGCAUUUUGCUCGAAUACAUUAGCAUGGAAUAAUAAAAUAGGACGGUUUGGUUCUAUUUUGUUGGUUUCUAGGAUCACCGUAAUGAUUAAUAGGGAUAGUUGGGGGCAUUAGUAUUCAAUUGUCAGAGGUGAAAUUCUUGGAUUUAUUGAAGACUAACUACUGCGAAAGCAUUUGCCAAGGAUGUUUUCAUUAAUCAAGAACGAAAGUUAGGGGAUCGAAGACGAUCAGAUACCGUCGUAGUCUUAACCAUAAACUAUGCCGACUAGGAAUCAGACGAUGUUAAUUUUUUAAUGACUCGUUUGGCACCUUACGGGAAAA
rnacentral:rRNA from 1 species